rnacentral:rRNA from 1 species
UAAACUACGAUUAGAUACCCUAUUAUUUUAAAUGUUAAGUGUGUACACUUGAGUAGUAUUAGUUAUGGUCUUGAAACUCAAAGAAUUUGGCGGUGUUUUAGUCCUUUCAGAGGAACCUGUCCUGUAAUCGAUAGUCCGCGUUGAACCUUACUUUGCUUUGUAGUCAGUUUGUAUACCUCCGUCUUCAGAAUAUCCUAUCAGGGUAUCUAAUGUUCUUAAUCUUUUAUUAGGAGAUGAUGUCAGGUCAAGGUGCAGCUUAUAGUUAAGUAGUGAUGGGUUACAAUAAAUAUAUUUAUACGGAGAUUAGUUUGAAAGUUAACUAUUUGAAGGUGGAUUUGAAGGUAAUUUUGUUUAUUAUAUUAACUUGAUUUUGGCUCUAAAACAUGCACACAUCGCCCGUCGCUCUUA